AUAACAUCCGGAAACGGGUGCUAAGUACCGCAUAGUUUUCUUGAUCGCAUGAUUGGAGAAAGGAAAGACGGCCUUUGUGCUGUCGCUUAUGGAUGGACCCGCGGCGUAUUAGUUAGUUGGUGAGGUAACGGCUCACCAAGACGAUGAUACGUAGCCGACCUGAGAGGUGAUCGGCCACAUUGGGACUGAGACACGGCCCAAACUCCUACGGGAGGCAGCAGUAGGGAAUCUUCCGCAAUGGACGAAAGUCUGACGGAGCAACGCCGCGUGAGUGAAAGAAGGUUUUCGGAUCGUAAAACUCUGUUGUCAGAGAAGAACAAGUUGGAGAGUAACUGCUCCAGCCUUGACGGUAUCUGACCAGAAAGCCACGGCUAACUACGUGCCAGCCGCCGC
rnacentral:rRNA from 1 species